rnacentral:rRNA from 1 species
GAUGAACGCUGGCGGCGUGCCUAAUACAUGCAAGUCGAGCGAACGGACGAGGAGCUUGCUUCUCUGAUGUUAGCGGCGGACGGGUGAGUAACACGUGGAUAACCUACCUAUAAGACUGGGAUAACUUCGGGAAACCGGAGCUAAUACCGGAUAAUAUUUUGAACCGCAUGGUUCAAAAGUGAAAGACGGUCUUGCUGUCACUUAUAGAUGGAUCCGCGCUGCAUUAGCUAGUUGGUAAGGUAACGGCUUACCAAGGCAACGAUGCAUAGCCGACCUGAGAGGGUGAUCGGCCACACUGGAACUGAGACACGGUCCAGACUCCUACGGGAGGCAGCAGUAGGGAAUCUUCCGCAAUGGGCGAAAGCCUGACGGAGCAACGCCGCGUGAGUGAUGAAGGUCUUCGGACCGUAAAACUCUGUUAUUAGGGAAGAACAUAUGUGUAAGUAACUGUGCACAUCUUGACGGUACCUAAUCAGAAAGCCACGGCUAACUACGUG